AUUGAACGCUGGCGGCAGGCCUAACACAUGCAAGUCGAGCGGGGUUUUCGGACCUAGCGGCGGACGGGUGAGUAAUGCGUAGGAAGCUGCCCGAUAGAGGGGGAUACCAGUUGGAAACGACUGUUAAUACCGCAUAAUGUCUACGGACCAAAGUGUGGGACCUUCGGGCCACAUGCUAUCGGAUGCGCCUACGUGGGAUUAGCUAUCUGGUGAGGUAAUUGCUCACCAAGGCGACGUGCUCUAGCUGGUUUGAAAAGAUGAUCAACCACACUGGAACUGAGCCACGGUCCAGACUCCUACGGGAGGCAGCAGUGGGGAAUAUUGGACAAUGGGCGCAAGCCUGAUCCAGCCAUGCCGCGUGUGUGAAGAAGGCCUUCGGGUUGUAAAGCACUUUCAGCGAGGAGGAAGGGUGGUGUGUUAAUAGCACAUCAUUUUGACGUUACUCGCAGAAGAAGCACCGGCUAACUCUGUGCCAGCCGCCGCCGUAAAAC
rnacentral:rRNA from 1 species